UCGUGCAAGAGAAUGGGCCGUCCCUCGGC
rnacentral:sRNA from 1 species